rnacentral:pre_miRNA from 1 species
AAUGGGAUAACUGGGUCAGAUGGUGGUUCCAUUCCAAGUUUUCUGAGGAAUCUCCAUACUGCUUUCCAGAGUGGUUGCACCAAUUUAUAGUCCCACCAGAAAU